GGGACAUUACAAAGGUAAAAAGAAAAUUCAAAUAAUGAAAAGAUUAUUUUGCUUAAAACUGAGUAAGUCAAUUUUUAAACAUGUGUGAAUUGAAUUAUUUUCUAGAAAAAAUAUCCAAGAAAACUGACCCUGGACAAGAUAAACCACAAACAGCUGCCCAGGUCACCCCCAGCAGCCACCCCAAGAAGGACCACAUUUCCAAUGAGGACCUUUCUAAGGAGCCUGUCAUCUCCAAGGAAGACCUGGUUUCCAAAGAGAAAGCUCUCAAAAGAGCAAAGAGUCAAAAGCCCAUAUCCCAAGAGGACAAUUUCGAAAAUGUUCAGCUCCAAUGAGAAGAGACUACAGAAGUGGCUCCCAGGGCUGGUAUGAGCCAGGGAAGUAGGAAGCCACUGGGAAGGUAUUGAGCAGGAAAAGGAAGGGGCUGGGCGCUACUUGGGUGCAAAUAGGUGGGGUUAGAAAGAGAAAGGAAGCUGUAAAGGAACAAGAACUAAAUGUAAGUGGGAGUUGAAUGAAGCAUUGAUCACCAGCCCUGUGAAAGGCUGUUGCUGGGGUAGAGGGGAGAGGGUGGAAGGGAACCAGCCUUAACUUGACAUUUCCCUCCUAAUACUCCUCAGCAACCACCUCAGAGGGAAAACUCGCCAAACUGAGCCAUAAAAUUGGGAAGAAUCUGGACAAAGCAGCAAAAGGAAUCAUGAACUACCUAAAAAAUCUAAUCCCUAGCGCCAAUGAUGUCAUGAGACCCUAAUGAUGAGGUGCCUGAAUCCAAGCCUGGGUUGUGGGCAAGGUCGCAUCCCAACUCCAUCUUUCAGCUCCUCAAAUUUGUGCAUUAAAGCAUUGUGUCCCAAGCCUGGCUCUGUGGUGGCUUUGCUGGGCUCAGGAAGAGAGGCAGGAUGCCCUCAACUCUACUGGGCUUCUUUCUAAGCUACCCUAUCCCUUUGAGUUUAAACUUCUCAUCCUCCUCAGCUUACAAACCUGCUCAUGUCUCCACAUCCCAAAACAUCCCCUACAAAGUCCUGACCUUCCUCAUGCUGCCUGCACCUCACCAAUGCACUGCCCCAUACCCCUCAGCUCCUGUGUCCACCUCAUGCCCCUACAAUCUACCA
rnacentral:lncRNA from 1 species